GCCGCACUAGGAAUCUGGGCAUGAAAGCCGAGAUUCCCGCUGCCAUCAUCGUAGAGGUCCAGCGAAGCCUGCACCCCUAUCAGUCUCCCAACAUGGCUACUCGUCUGCCGCGACCCUCCCGCGUCAGCUGCCCCGUGCGCCAUUGUCUCAUUGUCUCCCGAUCCACCUCACCAGAAGAGCCGAAGCUUGUCAGCCGGUUUCUGCGAAUCUGCUUCAAACUUUGAGCUGCUCGCCGCGCAUCAUCAUCACCACCGCCGCUGUCGUUCUUUGAUUUUGGUGCUACCACAGAUAUCCUUGAUUUCGCUGCUGUCAAUCAAGCCCUGAUUUUCCAAUACAGUCUACCACCGCCGCUGCUAAUACUAAGAUCCGAUGAAGGGUGUCGGCCGUCGUCGUGGUAGAAGAAGCCGUUGUCACCAGAUUCCUUAGCGUAUUCUUCCGAUUUUCAUCCGGAGAGCAAUUGACGCUCGCAGGCUAUCAUCGUCAAGUGAGCAGCUAUGGCUGUCACAGGUCAGCCAUCGCCGUAGUUGUUCUUCAAAUUCUGAUGAGGUAGAGGCAUAUUCGCCGCUGCAGCCGCGCAAGUUCUCGACCACUUGCACAGCCUCCUUGACAACAGUCAAUCGUUACACCUCCGAUUCUUCGAGUCUCUCGAUGAAAUAGGAGCAGUCACCCCUGUCUCCCAAAGCUAAGUUCCCUGAUUUUUUUUUUCUUUGAUUGCUUAAUUAAAUUUCCAAGACAUCUUCUGUUAAUAAUGUACAAAGGCAAAAUCGAAGUAUGCAAAGGCAA
rnacentral:lncRNA from 1 species